UUUGUCUUUAUGGCAAAUGUGAGAUGCAGUGUAUGGAAUGUCAAAUUUCUAGUAUGAGAAAUUAACGAUUUAAGUCCUUCUUAAAUGAGGCCAUUUACCCAAAGAGGGUGCCAGGCCCGUAUAACGUUAAUGAUUACUAGAUGAUAUUUCCAAAGAGUCGUGUUGCUUGAUAGUGCAGCACUAAGUGGGUGGUAAACUCCAUCUAAAACUAAAUAUAACCAUGAGACCGAUAGUAAACAAGUACCGUGAGGGAAAGUUGAAAAGAACUCUGAAUAGAGAGUUAAAUAGUACGUGAAACUGCUUAGAGGUUAAGCCCGAUGAACCUGAAUAUCCUUAUGGAAAAUUCAUCAUUAUGAUUUUAAUAUAUAUUAAAUUAAUGGUGUGCAUUUUUUCCAUAAGGACAUUGUAAUCUAUUAACAAUUUAUCAAAAGAUCAAGUUUAUUCAAAUUAUUUUGCUCAAUUUAACAUAGAAUAAAUGCUAUUGAUUUGAUAAAGUGUUGAUAGUUAUAGUGCUUAAAUUUUAUAUUAGUAUGUAUUAUAUGCACUUAUAUGAUUAACAAUGCGAAAGAUUCAGGAUACCUUCGGGACCCGUCUUGAAACACGGACCAAGGAGUCUAACAUAUUUGCAAGUUAUUGGGAAAAUAGCAUAAUUAACAUAACUUGGGAUUAGUUUUUUAAUUCAAUCCCGGGGCGUUCUAUAUAGUUAUGUAUAAUAAUAUUAUAUUAUUUAUACCUCUAACUAGAGCGUACCUUGAGCAUAUAUGCUGUGACCCGAAAGAUGGUGAACUAUACUUGAUCAGGUUGAAGUCAGGGGAAACCCUGAUGGAAGACCGAAACAGUUCUGACGUGCAAAUCGAUUGUCAGAAUUGAGUAUAGGGGCGAAAGACCAAUCGAACCAUCUAGUAGCUGGUUCCCUCCGAAGUUUCCCUCAGGAUAGCUGGUGCAUUUAAAAAUUAUGCAAAAUAAUCUUAUCUGGUAAAGCGAAUGAUUAGAGGCCUUAGGAUCGAAACGAUCUUAACCUAUUCUCAAACUUUAAAUGGGUAAGAACCUCACCUUUCUUGGUAUGAAGGUUGUGGUUGUGAUAUAAUGUGCCCAGUGGGCCACUUUUGGUAAGCAGAACUGGCGCUGUGGGAUGAACCAAACGUAAUGUUACGGUGCCCAAAUUAACAACUCAUGCAGAAACCAUGAAAGGCG
rnacentral:rRNA from 1 species